UGCACAACCUUAAACUUUAAUAAAAUAUUACAUUUUAUUCGCCAGGGUACUACGAGCAUAAGCUUAAAACCUAAAGGACUUGGCGGUGCUUUAGUCCCACCUAGAGGAGCCUGUUCUAUAACCGAUAACCCCCGUUAAACCUCACCUUUUCUUGUUUUUCCCGCCUAUAUACCGCCGUCGUCAGCUUACCCUGUGAAGGUUAUCUAGUAAGCAAAACUGAUUAAAUCUAAAACGUCAGGUCGAGGUGUAGCAUAUGAAAAGGAAAGAAAUGGGCUACAUUUCCUAUCUUAGGAUACCACGAAAAUUGAUAUGAAACACGCACAUGAAAGGAGGAUUUAGUAGUAAGAAGGGAAUAGAGAGCCCUACUGAAACUGGCCCUGAAGC
rnacentral:rRNA from 1 species